GACGAACGCUGGCGGCGUGCCUAACACAUGCAAGUCGAACGGAACUGUUUUGAAAGAUUUCUUCGGAAUGAAUUUGAUUUAGUUUAGUGGCGGACGGGUGAGUAACGCGUGAGUAACCUGCCUUCAAGAGGGGGAUAACAUUCUGAAAAGAAUGCUAAUACCGCAUGACAUAUCGGAACCACAUGGUUUUGAUAUCAAAGAUUUUAUCGCUUGAAGAUGGACUCGCGUCCGAUUAGUUAGUUGGUGAGGUAACGGCUCACCAAGACCGCGAUCGGUAGCCGGACUGAGAGGUUGAACGGCCACAUUGGGACUGAGACACGGCCCAGACUCCUACGGGAGGCAGCAGUGGGGGAUAUUGCGCAAUGGGGGCAACCCUGACGCAGCAACGCCGCGUGAAGGAUGAAGGUUUUCGGAUUGUAAACUUCUUUUAUUAAGGACGAAAAAUGACG
rnacentral:rRNA from 1 species